UAUUAGUGUGUUUCCUGCCGCGGGCAGUCUUCUCCUGAUCCAGAGAGGACUUUCUCCAAGGGCAAAGAGACAUAACUGGCUGGAAAGAUGGCUGGAGAGAAAUCAGCAUUGGUCCUCACCGGCCCUGAACUGAAAGCAUCACACAAAAGGCAGUGUCAUGUUGAUAGUGUUCAGGCAGAGCUUGACCCCAGGCCAGAGGGUGAGUGCCAGGUUCAUGUCCCUGGCAGGGCUGUGCCAGUCAGUGCUGUGUUGUCGUGUCACUCCGGGCCAGAAGGCUGAUGUGGUCAUGCUCAUUGGGAAACACACCACCUCCAUCACUAUGGCAAUAGGCGAUGAUGCCAACAAUGUGAACCUGAUCAGCGGCGGCUGGUUGAUCCAUCCCCUCCUCCUACUUCACCAGUCCUUGUUGAAUGAGGAACAACAAUAAG
ensembl:lncRNA